AGUGAACGCUGGCGGUAGGCCUAACACAUGCAAGUCGAACGGCAGCACAGUAAGAGCUUGCUCUUACGGGUGGCGAGUGGCGGACGGGUGAGGAAUACAUCGGAAUCUACUUUUUCGUGGGGGAUAACGUAGGGAAACUUACGCUAAUACCGCAUACGACCUACGGGUGAAACCAGGGGAUCUUCGGACCUUGCGCGAUUGAAUGAGCCGAUGUCGGAUUAGCUAGUUGGCGGGGUAAAGGCCCACCAAGGCGACGAUCCGUAGCUGGUCUGAGAGGAUGAUCAGCCACACUGGAACUGAGACACGGUCCAGACUCCUACGGGAGGCAGCAGUGGGGAAUAUUGGACAAUGGGCGCAAGCCUGAUCCAGCCAUACCGCGUGGGUGAAGAAGGCCCUCGGGUUGUAAAGCCCUUUUGUUGGGAAAGAAAAGCAGCAGGUUAAUACCCCGCUGUUCUGACGGUACCCAAAGAAUAAGCACCGGCUAACUUCGUG
rnacentral:rRNA from 1 species